AUUGAACGCUGGCGGCAGGCCUAACACAUGCAAGUCGAGCGGAGGAAGUGAGCUUGCUCCUGGAUUCAGCGGCGGACGGGUGAGUAAUGCCUAGGAAUCUGCCUGGUAGUGGGGGAUAACGUCCGGAAACGGGCGCUAAUACCGCAUACGGCCUGAGGGAGAAAGUGGGGGAUCUUCGGACCUCACGCUAUCAGAUGAGCCUAGGUCGGAUUAGCUAGUUGGUGGGGUAAAGGCCUACCAAGGCGACGAUCCGUAACUGGUCUGAGAGGAUGAUCAGUCACACUGGAACUGAGACACGGUCCAGACUCCUACGGGAGGCAGCAGUGGGGAAUAUUGGACAAUGGGCGAAAGCCUGAUCCAGCCAUGCCGCGUGUGUGAAGAAGGUCUUCGGAUUGUAAAGCACUUUAAGUUGGGAGGAAGGGCAGUAAGUUAAUACCUUGCUGUUUUGACGUUACCAACAGAAUAAGCACCGGCUAACUUCGUG
rnacentral:rRNA from 1 species